GAUGAAGAACGUAGCGAACGUGCGAAACGUAAUGUGAAUUGCAGAAUUCAGUGAAUCAUCGAAUCUUUGAACGCAUCUUGCGCUCCUUGGUAUUCCGAGGAGCAUGCCUGUUUGAGUGUCGUGAAUACUCUCAACUUCAACCCUUUUUUCGGAAAGGGAGGAAGGUUGGACUUGGGUGUUUGUUGAAGUGCGAGCUUCGACUCAUCCUAAAUGCAUUAGCGAUCUGCCUCGAUCACACACAAUGUGAUAAUUAAAACUAAAGCAUUGUUUAAUGAUCAAGUCGAGACUGCUUCUAACUGUCGCAAGACAAUAACGUGCAUACAUUUGUGCAUGUCAUUUGACCUCAAAUCAGGUAGGACUACCCGCUGAACUUAAGCAUAUCAAAGCGGAGGA
rnacentral:misc_RNA from 1 species